CCAGGCAGUGUGGUGGUCUGGGCAGGGUGAGUAGUCUAGGCAGUGUGGUGAUCCGGGCAGUGUGAGUGCUCCAGGCAGUGUGGUGGUCUGGGCAGGGUGAGUAGUCUAGGCAGUGUGGUGAUCCGGGCAGUGUGAGUGCUCCAGGCAGUGUGGUGGUCCGGGUAGGGUGGUAGUCUUAACAGGGUGAGUGGUCCGGGCAGUGUGGUGGUCCGGGUAGGGUGGUAGUCUUAACAGGGUGAGUGGUCCGGGCAGUGUGGUGGUCCGGGCAGUGUGGUGGUCCGGGCAGGGUGAGUGGUCCGGACAGUGUGGUGGUUCGGGCAGUGUGGUGGUCUGGGCAGUGUGGUGGUCCAGGCAGGGUGAGUGGUCCGGGCAGUGUGGUGGUCCGGGCAGUGUGGUGGUCUGCGUAGGGUGUUGGUCCCAGUAGGGUGGUGAGCCUGGCAGGGUGAGUGAUCUGAACAGUGUUUCGUCUGGGGCAGAGGUAAAGGUGCUGGCAGAGACAUCAAGCUCCGUCCAUUUUCCCGGCAGUGCUGUUGAGUGUGGCUGGAGGAUCCGAGGGUGUGGUCUGAGCGACCUCAGUGGGGCCUUGAUUGCUGGGUGUUGUCCAGAAACCCGCCGCUCCUCCCACUGGCCUUGACCUUGGCUGGGCUGGGGGUUGCUGGGCGGCAGGGGCAGGCAGCCACCUCUGCACACAGGGCCACCCUCGCCACUGCUCUCCCCAUUGGAUUCUGCAGAGCCGGGGACUUCACGGCCCUGACCGCUGCCCUGUAUCUCGGUGACGUGAUGUGCUCGUGUUGGUUUUUCCUGUCUUUUUUUAGACUUAAUCAGAAAUAAGGUAGAAGGUCAGAGUCCACAGCAAAGAGGCACAGAGGGGAACGGCAGCUCCUUGGGUCCCACGGGGCUGUGCCUGCUCCUUGGUGGGGACACUGGAGGCCCAGAGUGGCACAGACCCUGUCUUCACUGAGGGGAGAAAGAGGCAGCCCCGGGGCAUGAGAGCCACCCCUGCUGAUGCUGCCCCGGGCCCACAAGGGCCAAGCUCCAGGAACAUGGAAGUCCUGCCCUGGGCAGCACAGCCUCCAGAUUCCAAGAACCCAGCCUGGCACCCCAGGCUGGGCACAGCAAGGAGAGAGACUUCGACACUCUGCAUUAAGAUGGUAGCUCGUGGCCGGCGCGGUGGCUCAUCCCUGUAAUCCCAGCACUUUGGGAGGCCGAGGCGGGUGGAUCACAAGACUUCGGCCUCUCUGAAGCUCCUCCAUUUCUGGCUGCUUUUCACUGCCGUCUGCCUGCCUGUGUUCUUGUCUUCACGCCGGCCUUUGGUACGGGAGGGAGCCAUCCACGGCCCACACUGCAGCUCCCGUGACCUCCGCACGGCCCCGUGCGGACACUCAUCUGGAUUUUGUUUGUGCUCAGGAGAGGCUCUGCAUUGAACGACCUUGCACUGGGCCGGUUUCUUUUCUAAAGGUUCCAGAGGGCAUGGCUGUCAACUUCCCGCUUGUGUCCCCGUCGGGUUCCAGGGCACAGAGGUUUAUGCGGAGGGCUCGAGGGACUCACACCUGGGGGCAGAGUUGGGCAGCGGCGACGGGCACUCUGGAGCCCAUCACCCCCUUGGUGUCGAGGCCCAGGGGCCUGAUGUGCCCACUGCUGGCCAGUUUUUGGGUCGGGCCCCUCCCCCAGGGGGGUGCUGGGCUACCCUCCUGAGGGCAGAAGCAAUUGUUAAGAGCCUCAUCACUGUGGUGUCAGCCACUAGCCCUCCCCAGCUGUGGAACAGGGGUUGGUCCCCAUGCGGAGGGGUCCUGGUCCUGGGCGGCCCCACCACACCCUGAACCGCCUGAGCUUCUGACUGCAUGGAAUAUUCACAGGACUGCAGUGUGAGAAGGCAGCACCGCCCCGGCGCCCGCGAGGAAGCCGAACUGCUCAUAAGUUAAGCAGCCCCAGCCAGGUCACGGGGCAAGGAAGCCGCCUGCGACCUCGGAAACCCCUGGUUCAUCCCAUGACCCACCCCCGUUCAUCCGGUGACCCACCCCUCACCCCGGUUCAUCCCGUGACCCACCCCCCCGUUCAUCCCAUGACCCAGCCCCCCACCCCGGUUCAUCCCAUGACCCAGCCCCCCACCCCGGUUCAUCCCAUGACCCACCCCCCACCCCGGUUCAUCCCGUGACCCACCCCCCGUUCAUCCCAUGACCCAGCCCCCCACCCCGGUUUAUCCCGUGACCCACCCCCUGUUCAUCCCGUGACCCACCCCCCGUUCAUCCCGUGACCCAGCCCCCAACCCCGUUCAUCCCGUGACCCACCCCCAACCCCGGUUUAGCCCGUGACCCACCCCCCCCCCGUUCAUCCCGUGACCCACCCCCCGGUUCAUCCCGUGACCCAGCCCCCAACCCCGUUCAUCCCGUGACCCAGACCCCACCCUGGUUUAUCCCAUGACCCACCCACGGUUCAUCCUGUGACCCGCCCCCCGUUCAUCCCGUGACCCACCCCCCACCCCUGGUUUAUCCCGUGACCCACCCCCGGGUCAUCCUGUGACCCAGACCCCACCCUGGUUUAUCCCAUGACCCGCCCACGGUUCAUCCUGUGACCCGCCCCCCGUUCAUCCCGUGACCCAGCCCCCCACCCCUGGUUUAUCCCGUGACCCACCCCCGGGUCAUCCUGUGACCCAGACCCCACCCCUGGUUUAUCCCGUGACCCACCCUCGGGUCAUCCCGUGACCCAGACCCCACGCCUGGUUUAUCCCGUGACCCACCCGCAGCACCAGCACCUCAGUGCUGCUUUUGUAUUUAUAGUCGCCUUGCUGUAUGUUGAGCGUAAUUUUACAAUCUGCCCAAAAUUCCUUUGAAGAGCAGAUAGGUGUGUACACCCUAAAUGAAUAAAAUACAGUGCGAUUUGGUGAAAGGUAA
rnacentral:lncRNA from 1 species